AACGCUGGCGGCGUGCUUAACACAUGCAAGUCGAACGCGAAAGGGACUUCGGGUCCUGAGUAAAGUGGCGGCACGGGUGAGUAACGCGUAGAUAACCUGUCUUCAUGUCUGGAAUAAUACGCCAAAGGGGUACUAAUACCGGAUAUUCUUGCUUUUCAUAAGUUAUGCAAGCAAAGGUGGCCUCUGCAUAUGCUACUGCAUGAAGAGGGGUCUGCGUACCAUUAGCUAGUAGGUGGGGUAAUGGCCUACCUAGGCGACGAUGGUUAGCGGGUCUGAGAGGAUGAUCCGCCACACUGGCACUGGAACACGGGCCAGACUCCUACGGGAGGCAGCAGUGAGGAAUAUUGCGCAAUGGGGGAAACCCUGACGCAGCGACGCCGCGUGAGUGAGGAAGGCCUUCGGGUCGUAAAGCUCUGUCAAGAGGAAAGAAGUGUACAAUGGCUAAUACCUGUUGUAUUUGACGGUACCUCUAAAGGAAGCACCGGCUAACUCCGUGCCAGCCGCCGC
rnacentral:rRNA from 1 species